GAUGAACGCUGGCGGCGUGCCUAAUACAUGCAAGUCGAGCGAACGGACGAGAAGCUUGCUUCUCUGAUGUUAGCGGCGGACGGGUGAGUAACACGUGGAUAGCCUACCUAUAAGACUGGGAUAACUUCGGGAAACCGGAGCUAAUACCGGAUAAUAUUUUGAACCGCAUGGUUCAAAAGUGAAAGACGGUCUUGCUGUCACUUAUAGAUGGAUCCGCGCUGCAUUAGCUAGUUGGUAAGGUAACGGCUUACCAAGGCAACGAUGCAUAGCCGACCUGAGAGGGUGAUCGGCCACACUGGAACUGAGACACGGUCUAGACUCCUACGGGAGGCAGCAGUAGGGAAUCUUCCGCAAUGGGCGAAAGCCUGACGGAGCAACGCCGCGUGAGUGAUGAAGGUCUUCGGAUCGUAAAACUCUGUUAUUAGGGAAGAACAUAUGUGUAAGUAACUGUGCACAUCUUGACGGUACCUAAUCAGAAAGCCACGGCUAACUACGUG
rnacentral:rRNA from 1 species